UCGAACGAAGUCUUCGGACUUAGUGGCGCACGGGUGAGUAACACGUGGGAAUAUACCUUUCGGUGGGGAAUAACAGCGGGAAACUGCUGCUAAUACCGCAUACGCCCUUCGGGGGAAAGAUUUAUCGCCGAGAGAUUAGCCCGCGUCCGAUUAGCUAGUUGGUAAGGUAACGGCUUACCAAGGCUACGAUCGGUAGCUGGUCUGAGAGGAUGAUCAGCCACACUGGGACUGAGACACGGCCCAGACUCCUACGGGAGGCAGCAGUGGGGAAUAUUGGACAAUGGGCGCAAGCCUGAUCCAGCCAUGCCGCGUGAGUGAUGAAGGCCUUAGGGUUGUAAAGCUCUUUCGACGGGGACGAUGAUGACGGUACCCGUAGAAGAAGCCCCGGCUAACUUCGUGCCA
rnacentral:rRNA from 1 species